rnacentral:tRNA from 1 species
GUAGAUUUAGGUUAAUUUAAACUUUUAGUUUUCAAAACUAAAGAUUUUUUCUAUG